rnacentral:rRNA from 1 species
UAAUCCUGGUCGGACAUCAGGAGGUUAGUGCAAUGGCAUAAGCCAGCUUGACUGCGAGCGUGACGGCGCGAGCAGGUGCGAAAGCAGGUCAUAGUGAUCCGGUGGUUCUGAAUGGAAGGGCCAUCGCUCAACGGAUAAAAGGUACUCCGGGGAUAACAGGCUGAUACCGCCCAAGAGUUCAUAUCGACGGCGGUGUUUGGCACCUCGAUGUCGGCUCAUCACAUCCUGGGGCUGAAGUAGGUCCCAAGGGUAUGGCUGUUCGCCAUUUAAAGUGGUACGCGAGCUGGGUUUAGAACGUCGUGAGACAGUUCGGUCCCUAUCUGCCGUGGGCGCUGGAGAACUGAGGGGGGCUGCUCCUAGUACGAGAGGACCGGAGUGGACGCAUCACUGGUGUUCGGGUUGUCAUGCCAAUGGCACUGCCCGGUAGCUAAAUGCGGAAGAGAUAAGUGCUGAAAGCAUCUAAGCACGAAACUUGCC